rnacentral:rRNA from 1 species
CUACGUGCCAGCAGCCGCGGUAAUACGGGGGGUGCGAGCGUUAAUCGGAAUUACUGGGCGUAAAGCGAGCGCAGACGGUUACUUAAGCAGGAUGUGAAAUCCCCGGGCUCAACCUGGGAACUGCGUUCUGAACUGGGUAACUAGAGUGUGUCAGAGGGAGGUAGAAUUCCACGUGUAGCAGUGAAAUGCGUAGAGAUGUGGAGGAAUACCGAUGGCGAAGGCAGCCUCCUGGGAUAACACUGACGUUCAUGCCCGAAAGCGUGGGUAGCAAACAGGAUUAGAUACCCUGGUAGUCCACGCCCUAAACGAUGUCGAUUAGCUGUUGGGCAGCUUGACUGCUUAGUAGCGAAGCUAACGCGUGAAAUCGACCGCCUGGGGAGUACGGUCGCAAGAUUAAAACUCAAAGGAAUUGACGGGGACCCGCACAAGCGGUGGAUGAUGUGGAUUAAUUCGAUGCAACGCGAAGAACCUUACCUGGUCUUGACAU